rnacentral:rRNA from 1 species
UACGUAGGGUCCGAGCGUUGUCCGGAAUUAUUGGGCGUAAAGGGCUCGUAGGCGGUUUGUCGCGUCGGGAGUGAAAACUCAGGGCUUAACCCUGAGCCUGCUUCCGAUACGGGCAGACUAGAGGUAUGCAGGGGAGAAUGGAAUUCCUGGUGUAGCGGUGAAAUGCGCAGAUAUCAGGAGGAACACCGGUGGCGAAGGCGGUUCUCUGGGCAUUACCUGACGCUGAGGAGCGAAAGUGUGGGGAGCGAACAGG